ensembl:lncRNA novel transcript
GGAACUCGCGGCGGGGUUGCUGGGUCUUCCAGGAUCGCGCAUUAGCGGACGCUGGCUACGGGUGGCCGGGCGGGAUGUAACCGGCUGCUGAGCUGGCAGUUCUGUGUCCCCAGGCUUCGGCCCGGCCGCCGCCGCACAUAAACUGCGAGGAGGAGCUUUACGACUUCUCGGUCUUCGGGGCCGGGCGCAGCAAGGGCCAGACUCUGCGCUAGCAGGCGCUGCGCGCCAACCGGCCGGCCCCUGUCGCAGAAGGUGCAACCGAUCGCACUGUCGCGCAGAAGCUCCUCAAUGGCCAGCGCCAGCUGCAGCCCCGGCUGCCCACUCGCCUCACCUGAGCCUGGGUGGAACAAUCCAAAGUUUUAAUCAAAGAAGGUGGUAUUCAGUUGCUGCUUACAAUAGUUGAUACCCCAGGAUUUGGAGAUGCAGUGGAUAAUAGUAAUUGCUGGCAGCCUGUUAUCAAUUACAUUGAUAGUAAAUUUGAGGACUACCUAAAUGCAGAAUCGCAAGUGAACAGAUGUCAGAUGCCUGGUAACAGGGUGCACUGUUGUUUAUACUUCAUUGCUCCUUCAGGACAUGGACUUAAACCAUUGGAUAUUGAGUUUACAAAGCAUUUGCAUGAAAAAGUGAAUAUCAUCCCACUUAUUGCCAAAGCAGACACACUCAUGCCAGAGGAAUGCCAACAGUUUAAAAAACAGAUAAAGAAAUCCAAGAACAUAAAGUUAAAAUAUAUGAAUUUCCAGAAACAGAUGAUGAAGAAGAAAAAAAACUUGUUAAAAAGAUAAAGGACCAUUUACCUCUUGCUGUGGUGGGUAGUAAUACUAUCAUUGAAGUUAAUGGCAAAAGGGUCAUAGGAAGGCAGUAUCCUUGGAGUGUUGCUGAAGUUGAAAAUGGUGAACAUUGUGAUUUUACAGUUUUAAGAAAUAUGUUGAUAAGAACACACGCAGGACUUGAAAGAUGUUACUAAUAAUGUCCACUACGAGAACUAUGGAAUCAGAAAACUGGCAGCUGUGACUUAUCAUGGAGUUGAUAACAAGAAGAAUAAAGGGCAGCUCACUAAGAGCCCUCUGGCACAAAUGGAAGAAGAAAGAAGGGAGCAAGUAGCUAAAAUUAAGAAGAUGGAGAUGGAGAUGGAGCAGGUGUUUGAGAUGAAGGUCAAAGAAAAAGUUCAAAAACUGAAGGACUCUGAAGCUGAGUCUGCAGAUGUGGAUCCUGACUCCUGAGAGAAGUAGCUCACCGUGACGAAGCUGCGUUUGCUUUUAUCGAUUUGCAAAUCAAAGAAGGGGGACAUAUUGGGAGAAGGCCCCCCAAAAUCUGGCCAUAAACUGGCCACAAAACUGGCCAUAAAAUCUCUGCAGCACUGUGACAUGCUCAUGAUGGCCAUAACGCCCACGCUGGAAGGUUUUGGGUUUACCGGAAUGAAGGCAAGGAACACCUGGCCUGCCCAGGGCAGAAAACCACUUAAAGGCAUUCUUAAACCACAAACAGUAGCAUGAGCGAUCUGUGCCUUAAGGGCAUGUUCCUGCUGCAGAUAACUAGCCAGACCCACCCCUUUAUUUCAGGCCAUCCCUUCAUUUCCCAUAAGGGAUACUUUUAGUUAAUUGAAUAUCUAUAGAAACAAUGCUAAUGACUGGUUUGCUGUUAAUAAAUAAGUGGGUAAAUCUCUGUUCGGGGCUCUCAGCUCUGAAGGCUGUGAGACCCCUGAUUUCCCACUUUACACCUCUA